ensembl:miRNA
GUGAGGGACUGGGAUUUGUGGGGCGAGGAGGGACCUGUACUAGCCAUGGUUCUGAUCACGUAUGUCCCAUCCCUCCAUCAG